GGGCCCACCCCCAGCCCCCGCGUCCGUGCGUAGCGCUUCGUAAAGCGUGAGGGGGUUCGCGACAGCCCUGGCCCCACCCCUUUGGCCACAUGUCGCGCCGGUCUCCCCGUCAGACGCCGCGCCACCUCCUCGCGCUGCUUUACGAACUUAAAGCAGCGCCGCCCCGCCUCCCGUGUCCCUCCUCACCUCCCCGCCCCCUCCCUGUUUCGCGUCUCCUAGCCCGACGCGCUCGCUAUACUCACGUGACUGCCUCAUCCGGGUCCUUUGCGUUCUCUCUCCCUCUCCCAACAUGGCGGCCUCAGCAAAAAAGAAGAAUAAGAAGGGGAAGACUAUCUCCCUAACAGACUUUCUAGCUGAGGAUGGAGGGACUGGUGGAGGAAGCACUUAUGUCCCCAAACCAGUCAGCUGGGCUGAUGAAACAGAUGACCUAGAAGGAGAUGUUUCAACCACUUGGCAUAGUAAUGAUGACGAUGUGUAUAGGGCACCUCCAAUUGACCGUUCCAUUCUGCCCACUGCUCCACGGGCUGCUCGGGAACCCAAUAUCGACCGGAGCCGUCUUCCCAAAUCGCCACCCUACACUGCUUUUCUAGGGAACCUGCCCUAUGAUGUGACAGAAGACUCCAUCAAGGAAUUCUUUAGAGGAUUAAAUAUCAGUGCAGUGCGUUUACCACGUGAACCCAGCAAUCCUGAGAGGUUGAAAGGUUUCGGUUACGCUGAGUUUGAGGACCUGGAUUCCUUGCUCAGUGCCCUGAGCCUCAAUGAAGAGUCUCUAGGUAACAGGAGAAUUCGAGUGGACGUUGCUGAUCAAGCACAGGAUAAAGACAGGGAUGAUCGUUCUUUCGGCCGAGAUAGAAAUCGGGAUUCUGACAAAACAGACACAGACUGGAGGGCCCGGCCUGCUACAGACAGCUUUGAUGACUACCCGCCUAGAAGAGGUGAUGACAGCUUUGGAGACAAGUAUCGAGAUCGUUAUGACUCUGACCGAUACCGUGAUGGGUAUCGGGACAGUUACCGUGAUGGGCCGCGCCGGGACAUGGAUCGAUAUGGGGGCCGAGAUCGUUAUGAUGACCGAGGCAGCAGAGACUAUGAUAGAGGCUACGAUUCCAGGAUAGGCAGUGGCAGAAGAGCGUUUGGUAGUGGGUACCGUAGGGACGACGACUACAGAGGAGGCGGGGACCGCUAUGAAGACAGAUAUGACAGACGAGAUGACCGGUCAUGGAGCUCCAGAGAUGAUUAUUCUCGGGACGAUUAUCGGCGUGAUGAUAGAGGUCCCCCCCAAAGACCCAAACUGAACCUAAAGCCUCGGAGUACUCCUAAGGAAGAUGAUUCCUCUGCUAGCACCUCCCAGUCCAGUCGAGCAGCCUCUAUCUUUGGAGGGGCAAAGCCUGUUGACACAGCUGCUAGAGAACGAGAAGUAGAAGAGCGGCUACAGAAGGAGCAGGAGAAGUUGCAGCGUCAGCUGGAUGAGCCAAAACUAGAACGGCGGCCUCGGGAGAGACACCCAAGCUGGCGAAGUGAAGAAACUCAGGAACGAGAACGGUCAAGGACAGGGAGUGAAUCAUCACAGACUGGGACCUCAGCCGCAUCUGGCCGAAGUAAGUCAGACCAGGAUGCACGAAGAAGAGAGAGUGAGAAGUCUCUAGAAAAUGAAACAUCCAAUAAAGAGGAAGACUGUCAGUCUCCAACUUCUAAGCCUCCCAAACCUGAACAGCCUCUAAAGGUAAUGCCAGCCCCUCCACCAAAGGAGAAUGCUUGGGUGAAGCGAAGUUCUAACCCUCCUGCUCGAUCUCAGAGCUCAGACACAGAGCAGCAGUCCCCUACAAGUGGUGGAGGGAAAGUAGUUCCAUCUCACCCAUCUGAGGAAGGACCAGCAAGGAAAGAUGAAAAUAAAGUAGAUGGAGUGAGUGUCCCAAAAGGCCAAAGUGGGAACUCCAGCCGUGGUCCAGGAGACGGAGGCAGCAGAGACCACUGGAAGGAGUCAGAUAGGAAAGAUGGCAGAAAGGAUCAAGACUCCAGAUCUGCACCUGAGCCAAAGAAAGCUGAAGAAAAUCCAGCCUCUAAGUUCAGUUCUGCAAGCAAGUAUGCUGCUCUCUCCAUUGAUGGUGAAGAUGAAAAUGAGGGAGAUUACACCGAAUAGACCUCUGCGUUGUGUGCUUUCUCCUAGUCUCUCUCCACCCUGGAACAUUCGAGAGCAAAUCAAACCUCUAUCCAGACAAGACAAAAUAAAACUCACCAUCUCCUGGAGACCUUUCUUAACUUUUUUUUAAAAAAACAAAACAAAAUGAAAUGAAAUUCUUUUGCAUGCUGCUGCAGCCUUUAAAGUAUUGAACUAACUGGAGUAUCACCAGUGUAGAGAUGUACAGCUUUUAAUGGGAAAGUUGUGCAGUUUUAUGACACAUGCAGUUGCCUGUGUGAUUAGUGCCUAGGGGCCUCUGUUUAGCAGAAUGGCAGUAAUAGUGAUGCAACGUCUGGAAUCUGGGCAGUAGGGCAGGUACAAGGAAGACUAUGAGGUUUCUGCCUUUAAUUCUUAUAUCCUAUUGUGGCAUACAUGAAUUCUCAAACAUCUGAAUAAAUACUCCAUCCUUGGCAAGGUAGGUUUAGUCUCUGGUGUUGUUUUAGUCUCCAGGAGGCUGCCAGCCCCUCCUCUUAAUUCUUGAGUUACUGGGGCCAGCCUAGGGGGAGUGUCUUCAUUUGUACCCCCUAGGGGGGUAGGUAGAAGUGAAUCUACAGGCCACUGAAAAAUAGGACUGUGGUGACCAAAAUAAAGGGGAAAAUCGUGGUUUGAAAAGCUUUGGGGAUUUGAUGAAUUAUUUUUCACCAGUAAUUGGGAAAAUGGUAUGACCUCCAAUAAACACAUGAAUGCUUUACUUCUGGAGCAGGAAGCACUUAGGGGUGGUGGGACUUCCCAAUCGUUUAUGCGUCCUGAUUUCGCCCUUUCUUAAACACUAUCCCUUCUAAGACUUCACAUAUAUUCACAUUCUGUUAAAAUCUUGAAGCUUUAAAAAUGUAGGUUCUUGGCAUCUUACGUUCCUCAUGCUGCUCUGUCCUGUUACCUUCCCAAAGGCAGCUUCUUAAGCCACAGCCCGAUUGCCUCGGCCUUCUCCACAGCGCCAGGGAGCUGGCCAAUGAGGAAGCUCUGCUUUUCUUUUUCGCAAAGCGAAUCUUGGCUCCUUCGUGUCUUGACUCUCCCUCCUUCCCCCAUCCAUUCCUGCUCUUGCUUCUUGGAUCCCUUUUCCACUUCAGAGAACUUGAUAAGUACCGGUCUUAGGUAGUCAGGGAGGUGGUUGAAUUGGGAGCCUUUCUUAAAACCUUGAUUGGUGGGGGCGGGGGGGGGGGGAGAGCUAUUUUUUUCUAAGCAAGUUUCCUCUCUCCUGAAAUCCCACUCCAAUGUUUGGAUUUAUAAUGUGGCCUAGAGCAAUGUGGGGUGGGGGUGUUUGGCUUUUUUAGCGUCCCUUGAGAGAAGAAAUGAUAAUGGUGAGAAGGAUUUAACAAGGUCCUGGCUUCUCUUGCAACACAGUAGCUUAGCCCGCCUCUUCUGAGCACCUUUGUGCUGUCCGCUCAGUAGAUGGUGUCCUUAAGGCAGUGUCGGUACCUAUGGAGAAAAGACACCUUGGUCUCUUGUUUGCAAGCCCUUGUCCCAUCAGUCCUCAGGUCAGAUCCUGUCCAGCUGUGCAGGCAUGUUGCUCAUGAGUGCUGCAGCAGUGGGCGGAAGGAGUCACUUAGCAGUGGAUGGAAGAGACAUACCAAACGGAGUAACCGAAGAAUUGGCUCGGAUUGGCUAGUAGCUAGGAAGUGGCUUUUAGAGAUACCCCAGGUUGAAAGGGUAUUUUUUUAAACCAUUUGCUAUAGAUGAUGAAAAGAUAGGGUUUGCCCUCUUCAUGUCAACUCCUUCCAAAUAGUUGUAUCCAAAAAAGCUGGUUUUUUUCCCAUUCCUUUACCCUGCCACCCUGUCAGAACAAACAGGGAUUUAUGACCCGCUUCUCAAUACAUGUAAAAUUUGUACAAAAAUAUCUUCUAUGAAAAUGAUUUGUAAUCUGUAGACUUAAUACCUGGGAGAUGUCUUGAGAUGUAAAAUCCCAUCCUUUGGGUUGUGGGGUUUUUUUGUUUUCUCCAAAUAAAUCUGAUCUUUAAAGUUCA